GAUGAACGCUAGCGGCAGGCUUAACACAUGCAAGUCGAGGGGCAGCACAGAGGUAGCUUGCUACUUUGGGUGGCGACCGGCGCACGGGUGCGUAACAGGUGUGCAAUCUGUCCAUAAUCGGGGAAUAGCCCAGCGAAAGUUGGAUUAAUGCUCCAUGUGAGUAAGAGAGGCAUCUCUUUUAUUUGAAACGUAGGAUUAUGGGUGAGCACGCUUCUGAUUAGGUAGUAGGCGGGGUAACGGCCCACCUAGCCGACGAUCAGUAGGGGUUCUGAGAGGAAGGUCCCCCCANACUGGAACUGAGACACGGUCCAGACUCCUACGGGAGGCAGCAGUGAGGAAUAUUGGUCAAUGGGCGCGAGCCUGAACCAGCCAAGUAGCGUGCAGGAUGACGGCCCUAUGGGUUGUAAACUGCUUUUAUGCGGGAAUAAGAUCAGAUACGUGUAUCUGCGUGCAUGUACCGCAUGAAUAAGG
rnacentral:rRNA from 1 species